rnacentral:rRNA from 1 species
AGAGUUUGAUCCUGGCUCAGGAUGAACGCUGGCGGCGCGCCUAAUACAUGCAAGUCGAACGAAACCUCUUUAUCACCGAGUGCUUGCACUCACCAGAGAAAGAGUUGAGUGGCGAACGGGUGAGUAACGCGUGGGCAACCUGCCCAAAAGAGGGGGAUAACACUUUGGAAACAGGUGCUAAUACCGCAUAACCAUAGUUACCGCAUGGUAACUAUGUAAAAGGUGGCUAUGCUACCGCUUUUGGAUGGGCCCGCGGCGCAUUAGCUAGUUGGUGAGGUAAAGGCUUACCAAGGCAAUGAUGCGUAGCCGAACUGAGAGGUUGAUCGGCCACAUUGGGACUGAGACACGGCCCAAACUCCUACGGGAGGCAGCAGUAGGGAAUCUUCCACAAUGGGCGAAAGCCUGAUGGAGCAACGCCGCGUGGGUGAAGAAGGUCUUCGGAUCGUAAAACCCUGUUGUUAGAGAAGAAAGUGCGUGAGAGUAACUGUUCACGUUUCGACGGUAUCUAACCAGAAAGCCACGGCUAACUACGUGCCAGCAGCCGCGGUAAUACGUAGGUGGCAAGCGUUAUCCGGAUUUAUUGGGCGUAAAGGGAACGCAGGCGGUCUUUUAAGUCUGAUGUGAAAGCCUUCGGUUUAACCGGAGUAGUGCAUUGGAAACUGGGAGACUUGAGUGCAGAAGAGGAGAGUGGAACUCCAUGUGUAGCGGUGAAAUGCGUAGAUAUAUGGAAGAACACCAGUGGCGAAAGCGGCUCUCUGGUCUGUAACUGACGCUGAGGUUCGAAAGCGUGGGUAGCAAACAGGAUUAGAUACCCUGGUAGUCCACGCCGUAAACGAUGAAUGAUAAGUGUUGGAGGGUCUCCGCCCUUCAGUGGUGCAGCUAACGCAAUAAGCUUUCCGUCUGGGGAGUGUGACCGCAAGGGUGAAACUCAAAGGAAGUGACGGGGGCCCGCACAAGCGGUGGCGCAUGUGGUUUAAUUAGAAGCAACGAGAAGCACCUUCCCAGGUCUUGACAUCCUCUGACACUCCUAGAGAUAGGACUUUCCUUUCGGGGACAGAAUCACAGGUGGCGCAUGGUUGUUGUCAGCUCGUGUCGUGAGAUGGGGGGAUAAGUCCCGCAGCGAGCGCAACCCUUACUGUUAGUUCCCCGCAUUAAGUUGGGCACUCUAGCAAGACUGCCGGUGACAAACCGGAGGAAGGUGGGGAUGACGUCAAAUCAUCAUGCCCCUUAUGACCUGGGCUACACACGUGCUACAAUGGACGGUACAGCGAGUCGCAAGACCGCGAGGUUUAGCAAAUCUCUUAAAGCCGUUCUCAGUUCGGAUUGUAGGCUGCAACUCGCCUACAUGAAGUCGGAAUCGCUAGUAAUCGCGGAUCAGCACGCCGCGGUGAAUACGUUCCCGGGCCUUGCACACACCGCCCGUCA